ensembl:lincRNA
NNNNNNNNNNNNNNNNNNNNNNNNNNNNNNNNNNNNNNNNNNNNNNNNNNNNNNNNNNNNNNNNNNNNGCCCGCCGCUCGGCAGCCCGGCGCCGACCGCCGUCCUCCCCCCAAGAUGUGGCACAACAUCGGGCUGACCCUGGUGGUGUUCGUGGCCACGCUGGUGAUCGUGCUGCUGCUGAUGGUGUGCGUAACUCAGAAUCAACUGAUGGAGGUCUGCAAAAUCCUUCUACGUUUAUCACAUAACCUGCCCCAUCACCCUUGCUGUAUUCUUUUGGUUGGAAGUAGAUCACAGGUUCCAUCCCCACGUGGAAAAGGUCACACAAGAGGUACACAUGGCUUGAUUCAUUGAGGUUACUAAGCUAAAUCUGCCACAGUGUGUAUGAUUUCUUUCUUAAGUGUUUGGUAGAAUUAAUCUGGGCCAGGACUUUUCUUUUGAGGAAAUUAUUAAGUACACAUUGAAUUUCUUUGCUAGGUACUGAGCUGUUCUAGUUAUCUGUUUGUUUUGUGAGUUUUCAUAGUUUGUGCUUUUCAAGCAUUUUAAUCUGAAUUGUGUAAUUUUUAAAAAUAAAGUUUGUAAUAUUGUCAUUACCCUUUUAAUAUCUGUGGGAUCUACGGUGAUGUCUUCCUUUUCAUUCCUUAUUUGUGUAUCCUUUUUUUUUCCCCCACAUGAUCAGUUUGGCUGGAGGUGUAUACAUUUUACUGAUCAUUUUGAAGAAUUAACUUUGAUUUGUGUUUUUCCCCCUUUAUUAUUCGUCCAUAUUCUGUGUAAUUGCUUUGCGCUUUUCUCUUUAUUUUCUUCUACUUAUUCUGAGUUUAAUUUGUACUUCUCUAGUUUUUCAUGGUAGAAGCUUAGGAUAUUGAUUUUAGGCCUUUUUUUUUUUUUAAUAGUUAAUAAAUCUCUUUGUGGGUAUUGCUUUUAUUUUAUGUUUUUUAACCCAAAACAUUUUUAUUUUAGUCUUCAAAGAACAAACUGUUCUUCUUUUUCCAAGAUAAUAGUGGUUAAUUUACAAAAGUGGGCAUUUACAAAUGCAUCUUCAAAAUAUUUCCCUUUAACGUGAAACUUGGCUUUAUAGAAUCCAAACAUUAAAAGGUUAAAAAAUUUUUUUCUAUUUUGUUAUUAUAGGACAAAACAGAGAAAGUCCAGGAAAUCCAUUCAUACUUCAGAACCUUCUCUAGGAACUAGCAUUGUUGUAUUAUUUCCAUUUAGCAGAAUUUCAUCUAAUUUAGUGAUCCUUCUUCCUUCUGGUGUGAUUUCACUCAGUGACAUCCUCCAGUACCAUAUUGACAAAGUCCUCAAAUCCCAAGAGUGCCAACCAUUUUUUUGUCACUUUAUAUCACAGUGAAUUCUUCAUCCUAUACUUUUGUCCACAAGCUUUAGAGGCAGCAGUUGCAAUGGGUUAGUGGUAGGGUUAGCUGCCAUGGCUAUGCCAGAAGUCACGGGUAUUGCUUUUGAUCUAAACAAAAAAUUUUCCUGGGGGUCAGGGAGAGGAGUCCUGGGUGGGGGGAUGGGCUACGUAGGCGAUGGGCAUUAAGGAGGCCAUUUGUUGUGAUGAGCACCAGGUGUUGUAUGUAAGUGAUGAAUCGCUAAAUUCUAUUCCUGAAAUCAAUACUACUACACUAUAUUUUGACUAACCUGAAUUUAAAUUAAAAAAAAAAAUUCCAUUCAAACUAUUUUUAUGUUUCACUUGUGAUUUCUCUUUGGAAUGGAUUAUUUAGGAGUAUGUUGUUUAAACUUUGAAUAUUUGAAUUUUUUCCCCAAUACUAUUUUGUCAUCAAUUUCUAGUUUAAUUUUGUUAUGGUCAGAAAAUAUAUUUUGUAUAAAAAAAUAAGAAGGUUUACCCUUAAAGUUAAUGAGACUGAUUAAUGUUAUAUUUUGGUAAAUGUUCUAUGUACACUUGAAAAGAAUGAUUCUUUUAUAGUUAUUGAAUAGAAUGUAUUGUAUAUGUCAGAUCAACUUGGUUGAUAAGGCUGCUCGGUGUCUUAAAGCAGUUCUCUCCAUUUAUAACUAUAUUAUGUAGCAGGCAUCUUCAGGCUCUGAAAUGGGUUAAUUGGUGAAAGUCAUUAUACCCUUAAGUUCAUGGGUAGUUUUGUCUGCGUGUUGGGGGGCUGAGACCAUGGAGAUUGGUUGAUUUGAGUGUCUCCUCUGUACCAGGUACUGUUGAAGACAUAGGGAACAAAGUGGAAGACAUUGAUAAACCAUACAUUUCCUUGUCUUCAGAAACUUGUGUUUGGGGGGGAAUGGGAGACAGUUAUUAAUGCAGUGAAGGGUGGAAGUGAGUGUGGAGUGCUAAAGCAGUCACCCAAGACGACAACAUUAUACUGAAGAGAGUGCAGUAGAAAGGUAUAGAAGUUAUGUACAAAUGACGUUCAAAAUUCUUAAUAAUGGUGGUAGUAGUAGCCUUGUGUCUCUAGUGAGCCCGUGAGAGGAAGGGACUGGAACCUAGGAGACAGUGACAAUGGGUAACGUUUGAUAGGUGUUUCUUAACGUGCCAUGCAUUCUCUUCACUGUUACCCUUUGAGAGUGGGUACUAUUAUCUCCAUUUAACGCAGGAGGAAACUGAGGCACAUGGAGGUUAACUGGCUCAAGUUGCGGUUAAGUUGCUGAGUUGGGAUUCUUGGCCAAGCAGUGUGGCUCCAGCCUGCAUGUGAGCUGUCAGCCGUUAUACUGAUAAUCCAGUCGACAGAGAGUAAGGAUUUGGUGUAGGCUCGAGAAUGGCAUUGGGAAUGUAGAGAAGGAAAACAGAUGGCAGAGGGCUUAUUGAGGUAGAAUCUUAAGCACUAAGGGAGAAGAGGGGUCAGUGUGCUGAAAAGGAACUGUUUCUCACCAGAGAGAUGGGGAGAGAAUGUAAUACCCAUAACAGAAAUCUGAAAAUCGAAGAAGGAGCUGCAGGAUAUAUAUAUACUUUGUAAAGUUGUCUUCAAGCCAGCCAAGCCAAUUCCUGUCUGGGGUUCAAGAAAGGUGGGAGGUAUGGAGGGAAAAUGUGGUUAGCAUUUGUCAUAGAGGUAACAUGUUGAUCUGUGGGUGCGUCGUGGUCACCAAAGAGAGAAGAAAAUAGAGAAGAGGUUGUAAAAGGCAACUUAAAAAAUGUCCUGUGUGUUGGAUCGGAGAGUUUUGGAUGUGGAGGUGUUACAGUUCAGCGUGUUGAUUCGGUAAUGGUAUCUCCAGGGGCUCAUCAUCCCCUGUUGCCCAGUGUGUGGUCACGAAAGGGGCGUGUGCCGUAGAGGGUAUGAUAUGGUGGCACGAGGAGCAUGGCUCUAUUUUUACUUCGCCUUGUCUGUGGCCUUGGAUAAAUUAUCCUGGAAGUGAGCCUUAGCUGCCUUCAGAGAAAAAUAAAAAUCAGAGGACUGAAAAUGGAAAAGAGCUUUGUACAACUUGAGAUUGGUAUUGAGGCAGUUAGUUAACCACUUAGGUGCCGUUGUGAACGUGGGAUUAUGUAACUCCAUUGGAAUGAUGCCCCAAAGACAGACAUUUGUGAUUAUACUGUAGGUGGGCUUUUGACCCAAGAAGAUCCUGGGGAGUGAAAUAAAAUUCUCAGUCUAUUUAGUGUUUUGGGCUUUAGCCAUACUUCCACCAUGAAGAUCUGAGAAAUUAGAGAACACUUAAAUUUUGUUGCUCUCUUGCCUAGCUGGCCUUCUUCAAUGGCUGAGUCACUUUGAGCCUUUAUUUUCUUAUCUAGAAAUUGGUGAUAAUGAUUCCCGUCUCAUUAAUUCAGAGGGCAGUUGGGAGGAUUACAGGACUGUUGAAUAGAAAAGCACUUUGUAAACUGAGAGCUCUAUAAUUACAGCUGUCCCUUGGGUUUGGGUUGUGUCGAUGGUGUUGGUUCAUCUCUCAGGUUCAUCUUGCUAUCACUACCCUUCCACUGCCAGCACCUUUAUCUUGCAGAGAAAAACAAUGUACAGUGUGUUUCAUGAAACUCAUCCUUUGAACCAGUGCUUCGUUAUUGGCACACACAACUGAAUGCUCCUUCGCUUAUCCCAGAAUAUACACCCUCUGUUGCCAGCCAGUGUUUCUGACAUACGGUGCUUAUCACUGUGAGACUGGGGCAAGGCACUCACUUGCCUUUUAAACUGUGGAGAACUGCAGGGCUGCUUUCAUCAGUCAGUGUAAAUUUCUGAUUCUGUAUACAUAUAAUGGUGGACAGUUCUUCUCUCCCUACUUCUCCCACUUCCUCCUUCCCAUUUCUUUCUUACUAAAUCCCAGGACGGGGUACAAAACAUACAUCCCGUACAGGAAUGUCAGGUAAGCCCUUUCUGGUGUCUUUGUAUCUGGUCUCAGUGGGAGGAACUGUAUGAGCUCUACUUCCCAACAGUUCCUGUCGGCUGUAGGCAUGCAGGGUACAGGGGUAAGACCUUUUCAGUAAAAGGUAGCUUUUUUAGUGAUUAUUAUUCUUUUCAUCCCACUGCCCCACAAAGAUACAUACACAUACCUGGUAGAAGUUGGUCACUCGGGGCCAGAGUCCAAAUUGAGCUGGUGUAGUU